rnacentral:rRNA from 1 species
GUCUACGACCAUGCUACCUAAACAAGCCCGAUCCUGUCUGAUCUCGAAAGCUUAGCAGGGUCAGGCCUGUCUAGUACUUGGAUGGGAGACCUAUGAAGACCAGUUGCUGUAGGCU